UCUGUCCCUGGCAUUUACUCCUGCAAGUGAGACAAGUGCCACGUCUGCCCCUACACUUCCUCGCCACCAAUCUGGGCCCCAGACAGCCCUUCAAGGUGAGGCAACCCUUCACCUGCGAGCCUGUCAGGAUUACCUACUGUAUCCGGUCCUCCAGGAGCAGCCUCCUUUAUACUGGUGAAACAUGGUGUAGAACUGGGAAAUGCUUCUUCAACCACCUUCACUCCAUCACCACAUAAGGAAGGAGAAGUCAAAAGAAUAUACAGCAGUCCUCAGUGAGCUGUCACUGGGGGGAAAGGACGAGCAACUUUAAGUUCCUGGGCAUCAACAUCUCAGACCAUCUACCCUGGGUCCAACACAUUGAUGGAAUCAUCAAGAAGGCACACCAGCAGCUGUACCUGAGGAGAUUUGUAGGAAGAGGACAGGAUUACAAAAGGUGAAACGAUCGGC